CACUGCAGGAUGGAUUUAGCAGAGGCAUGCAUUGGCUGCUUGACAUAUCCCUGGAAGAGGACACCAACUAGCUAACACAGUCAAUGACAGAUGUCUCUUUGAAUUGAUAAAAUCAUAAUCAAAUGGAUAUAAUACAGAAGUUUCAAAGAUCUGUUUUGAUGUAGCCUGAAGAUUUUGUAAUGAAUGAUCCAAAAGUUCUUCGCGGAGUUCAAAGACAG